rnacentral:misc_RNA from 1 species
GUGAAGAACGUAGUGAAAUGCGAUAAGUAAUGUGAAUUGCAGAAUUCAGUGAAUCAUCGAAUCUUUGAACGCACAUUGCGCCCGCCAGUAUUCUGGCGGGCAUGCCUGUUCGAGCGUCAUUUCAACCCUCAGGACCCUUUGGACCUGGUGUUGGGGCUCGGCCGCUACCCCGCGGCCGUCCCCGAAAGAUAGUGGCGGUCUCGCUGUAGCGUCCUCUGCGUAGUAAUUACACCUCGCACUGGAACGCGGCGCGGCCACGCCGUUAAACACCCCACUUCUCAAGGUUGACCUCGGAUCAGGUAGGAAUACCCGCUGAACUUAAGCAUAUCAAUAAGCGGAGGA